UCUCGAUAGCGUAGAAGUUAACUCAUAUUUGUAUGGAAUGGGAUCAUUUGCCUAUGUUUUCCGCUAAGGGCGCUGUUCCAACUGCAUACAAAUAUUGGGCUAACUUUUACGCUAUCGA
rnacentral:pre_miRNA from 9 species